CGAUGAUCCGGUGCUUGCACCGGGGAUUAGUGGCGAACGGGUGAGUAACACGUGAGUAACCUGCCCUUAACUCUGGGAUAAGCCUGGGAAACUGGGUCUAAUACCGGAUAUGACUCCUCAUCGCAUGGUGGGGGGUGGAAAGCUUUUUGUGGUUUUGGAUGGACUCGCGGCCUAUCAGCUUGUUGGUGAGGUAAUGGCUCACCAAGGCGACGACGGGUAGCCGGCCUGAGAGGGUGACCGGCCACACUGGGACUGAGACACGGCCCAGACUCCUACGGGAGGCAGCAGUGGGGAAUAUUGCACAAUGGGCGAAAGCCUGAUGCAGCGACGCCGCGUGAGGGAUGACGGCCUUCGGGUUGUAAACCUCUUUCAGUAGGGAAGAAGCGAAAGUGACGGUACCUGCAGAAGAAGCGCCGGCUAACUACGUGCCAGCAGCCGCGGUAAUACGUAGGGCGCAAGCGUUAUCCGGAAUUAUUGGGCGUAAAGAGCUCGUAGGCGGUUUGUCGCGUCUGCCGUGAAAGUCCGGGGCUCAACUCCGGAUCUGCGGUGGGUACGGGCAGACUAGAGUGAUGUAGGGGAGACUGGAAUUCCUGGUGUAGCGGUGAAAUGCGCAGAUAUCAGGAGGAACACCGAUGGCGAAGGCAGGUCUCUGGGCAUUAACUGACGCUGAGGAGCGAAAGCAUGGGGAGCGAACAGGAUUAGAUACCCUGGUAGUCCAUGCCGUAAACGUUGGGCACUAGGUGU
rnacentral:rRNA from 1 species